rnacentral:rRNA from 1 species
AGAGUUUGAUCCUGGCUCAGGACGAACGCUGGCGGCGUGCCUAACACAUGCAAGUCGUGCGGACCGGGCCUGCCGAAUCCUUCGGGAGGACGCGGGAAACCGGUUAGCGGCGGACGGGUGAGUAACGCGUGGGCAACCUACCCAUAAAACCGGGAUAACUCCGGGAAACCGGGGCUAAUACCGGAUACACCCUUAGAGCCGCAUGGUUUUAAGGGGAAAGGUGGCCUCUGAUGCAAGCUACCGAUUAUGGAUGGGCCCGCGUCUGAUUAGCUAGUUGGUGAGGUAAUGGCUCACCAAGGCGACGAUGGGUAGCCGGCCUGAGAGGGUGACCGGCCACACUGGGACUGAGACACGGCCCAGACUCCUACGGGAGGCAGCAGUGGGGAAUAUUGGGCAAUGGGGGGAGCCCUGACCCAGCAACGCCGCGUGAGCGAAGAAGGCCUUCGGGUUGUAAAGCUCUGUCAACGGGGAAGAAGUCAUUUACCUGAACAAGGUAAGUGGUGACGGUACCCGUGGAGGAAGCCACGGCUAACUACGUGCCAGCAGCCGCGGUAAAACGUAGGUGGCGAGCGUUGUCCGGAAUUACUGGGCGUAAAGGGCGCGUAGGCGGUCUGGUAAGUCAGGAGUGAAAGGCCUGGGCUCAACCGAGGCAUUGCUUCUGAAACUGUCGGACUUGAGGGCAGGAGAGGUAGGUGGAAUUCCUAGUGUAGCGGUGAAAUGCGUAGAUAUUAGGAGGAACACCAGUGGCGAAGGCGACCUACUGGCCUGGCCCUGACGCUGAGGCGCGAAAGCGUGGGGAGCGAACAGGAUUAGAUACCCUGGUAGUCCACGCCGUAAACGAUGAGUGCUAGGUGUUGGGGGUCAUACCUUCAGUGCCGCAGUUAACACAUUAAGCACUCCGCCUGGGGAGUACGGUUGCAAGACUGAAACUCAAAGGAAUUGACGGGGACCCGCACAAGCAGCGGAGCAUGUGGUUUAAUUCGAAGCAACGCGAAGAACCUUACCAAGACUUGACAUCCCCCGGACCGCUCUGGAGACAGAGCUUUCCCUUCGGGGACUGGGGUGACAGGUGGUGCAUGGUUGUCGUCAGCUCGUGUCGUGAGAUGUUGGGUUAAGUCCCGCAACGAGCGCAACCCUUGCCUUUAGUUGCCAUCAGGUAAAGCUGGGCACUCUAGAGGGACUGCCGGUGACAAACCGGAGGAAGGUGGGGAUGACGUCAAAUCAUCAUGCCCCUUAUGUCUUGGGCUACACACGUGCUACAAUGGCCGGUACAACGGGCAGCGAACCCGCGAGGGGGAGCGAAUCCCUAAAAGCCGGUCCCAGUUCGGAUUGUGGGCUGCAACUCGCCCACAUGAAGCUGGAGUUGCUAGUAAUCGCGAAUCAGAACGUCGCGGUGAAUGCGUUCCCGGGUCUUGUACACACCGCCCGUCACACCAUGAGAGUCGGCAACACCCGAAGCCAGUGGGCUAACCUUUUGGAGGCAGCUGUCGAAGGUGGGGCCGAUGAUUGGGGUGAAGUCGUAACAAGGUAACCA